rnacentral:rRNA from 1 species
AGCAGUGGGGAAUAUUGCACAAUGGGCGAAAGCCUGAUGCAGCCAUGCCGCGUGUGUGAAGAAGGCCUUCGGGUUGUAAAGCACUUUCAGUCAGGAGGAAAGGUUAGUAGUUAAUACCUGCUAGCUGUGACGUUACUGACAGAAGAAGCACCGGCUAACUCCGUGCCAGCAG